rnacentral:misc_RNA from 1 species
GAUGAAGAACGUAGUGAAAUGCGAUAAGUAGUGUGAAUUGCAGAAUUCAGUGAAUCAUCGAAUCUUUGAACGCACAUUGCGCCCCUUGGUAUUCCAUGGGGCAUGCCUGUUCGAGCGUCAUUUGUACCUUCAAGCUCUGCUUGGUGUUGGGUGUUUGUCUCGCCUCUGCGCGUAGACUCGCCUCAAAACAAUUGGCAGCCGGCGUAUUGAUUUCGGAGCGCAGUACAUCUCGCGCUUUGCACUCAUAACGACGACGUCCAAAAGUACAUUUUUACACUCUUGACCUCGGAUCAGGUAGGGAUACCCGCUGAACUUAAGCAUAUCAAUAAGCGGAGGA